ACUCCAACAACCCCCAAACCCAGUCCUCACCUCCCACAUGCUUUUCAUCACCCGCUCUCACAUCCCAUCUGGGGCCUCUGCUUCCAUCCUACCAUUUCGCAAGCCUGGCCAACUCAAGCUCCGUGUGCUGCACCUAGAGCAGCCCAUCUCUGUGUCAGGAGAACUGCAAUCCAAGCAAAUGUGGUGGGUGUGAAGCUUUCAAGAAGUUGGGUCAAGAACAAGGACUGAAAGAGGAGCAUCAAUUUAUGGGGGCCACUGAGGCUUUCAGAGAUUUUGUGACCUACCAAACUGGCACAGCUAGUAAAUGGAUGACAAGCCAUUAACAUGGAAAGAAGAAGAGGCAUCCAAAGUGUUGGGUCCGCAUCGCCCUUGCCUUGGAGGAAGCUCCAAAUAGAGGGAAGGAUGGUUUCCAGCAGUCCCUGAAGUGCCUUUCCUCCUUCGUGGGAUCCAGUUACACCCAGCAGACUUCAGUUUGAAUAAACAGAACUAGAUGAAUACACCUAGGGAAUCUGUGAGGCCAGCCUCAGCUUUUAACAUCCAGCUACAGGGAGGCUCUCGCUCACCGGGAGAUUAACCCGCCAGGCUGCUGAGUGAGAGGGGACAGAGUAGGCCCUGACGGGAGGCCUGGGACGCAGGGGAAAUCAAAACAAGUCCACCUGCUUAAGGAGACUGCCGCACUGUGACCUCGUCCUCCGGACAUCUGUGGCAAGUGUUACCGCAGCCACUGAUGUGGCGCACUGGGCCAUUUACAGCUGCCUCAUGAUAUUCUUUUUCACGACUGUGUUUACACUAUUGUUUAACAACUUUGUAUAACAAUCUCUUUUCACUCCAAAUAAACCUUAGUGCCUGGAAGGCCAAGAGUAUCUUCA